rnacentral:rRNA from 1 species
GAUGAACGCUGGCGGUAUGCUUAACACAUGCAAGUCGAACGGACUCUUCGGAGUUAGUGGCGGACGGGUGAGUAACGCGUGAGAAUCUGGCUUUGGGUUCGGGACAACCACUGGAAACGGUGGCUAAUACCGGAUGUGCCGAGAGGUAAAAGAGAAAUUGCCUGAAGAUGAGCUCGCGUCUGAUUAGCUAGUUGGUGAGGUAAAGGCUCACCAAGGCAGCGAUCAGUAGCUGGUCUGAGAGGAUGACCAGCCACACUGGGACUGAGACACGGCCCAGACGCCUACGGGAGGCAGCAGUGGGGAAUUUUCCGAAAUGGGCGAAAGCCUGACGGAGCAAUACCGCGUGAGAGAAGAAGGCUCUUGGGGUGUAAAGCUCUUUUCUUAGGGAAGAACAAAAUGACGGUACCUAAGGAAUCAGCAUCGGCUAACUCCGUG